UCCAAGGACCAUACAAGGUAAUCCUAGCAACAGUAACAGCAGUUAAGGUAGACGGACCGAACACGUGGAUCCA